rnacentral:rRNA from 1 species
UACGUAGGGUGCGAGCGUUAAUCGGAAUUACUGGGCGUAAAGCGUGCGCAGGCGGUUUUGUAAGCCAGGUGUGAAAUCCCCGGGCUCAACCUGGGAAUGGCAUUUGGGACUGCAAGGCUGGAGUACGGCAGAGGGAGGUGGAAUUCCACGUGUAGCAGUGAAAUGCGUAGAGAUGUGGAGGAACACCGAUGGCGAAGGCAGCCUCCUGGGCUAGUACUGACGCUCAUGCACGAAAGCGUGGGGAGCAAACAGG